AAAUUGAAGAGUUUGAUCAUGGCUCAGAUUGAACGCUGGCGGCAGGCCUAACACAUGCAAGUCGAACGGUAACAGGAAGCAGCUUGCUGCUUUGCUGACGAGUGGCGGACGGGUGAGUAAUGUCUGGGAAACUGCCUGAUGGAGGGGGAUAACUACUGGAAACGGUGGCUAAUACCGCAUAACGUCGCAAGACCAAAGAGGGGGACCUUCGGGCCUCUUGCCAUCAGAUGUGCCCAGAUGGGAUUAGCUUGUUGGUGAGGUAACGGCUCACCAAGGCGACGAUCCCUAGCUGGUCUGAGAGGAUGACCAGCCACACUGGAACUGAGACACGGUCCAGACUCCUACGGGAGGCAGCAGUGGGGAAUAUUGCACAAUGG
rnacentral:rRNA from 13 species